rnacentral:lncRNA from 1 species
AGGUAACCUAUCCUGACCUGUCUCUGUGAUAACACUGACUCUAAAGGACUCCGACUCCUAGGGUAGGAGAAAAGACAGCUGCUCUCAGGAAGACAGAUUUACUCGAACUAAGCAUUGAGUCACCUUCCAACCAGGUGGCAAAGUGUCACGGGGACACAGAGACUGGAGGAGAUGUGAGCUCAGACACUACUGUUUUCAUUCACUAGCCUUGUGACUUAGGGCUGAUCUUAAGAUGAAUAAGCUCUAGCCACACAUUGUAUAAUGACAGCAAUGGCUCCCCUGGAUGUGGUGACACACCCUGACAAUCUCAGCACUGGUGAGGUAGAAGCAAGGGAGUAAGAAGUUUGAGCCUAGUACACUUCAAGUUUGCACUAUAUAACUACUAACUCUGUACUUCCUGGUUGGCUUUUAAAAUCGGAUGAUGUGUUCCACAAAUAUGGGCACUAAAUAAGUGUCCUGUGUCACUGAUUACUACUUGAUCCUUACCAUGAAGAGUUGGAACAUGCUUGUAACUGAUGCUCACACAGCACACCUGAGAAUUGGGGUCACUCAUGAUAUCUUUUCCAUGCGUGCUUUGACACUUUUCUCUCUUCCACUAACCAUGGUGGGUUUUCUUUGCUUUUAUGCAGUCCUAGGGAACAAACUCGGGACCUUGUGCUUUACAGACUGCUCUCUUCCUACUGAGCUACAUAUCCUAGCCCCUGCAUCUACAUUUUGAUCAGUGUGUAAAGUGGAUGUUUGUCAAGCUCAGGUUGUCUUUGAGCACAGAGAGGAUUAGCCUAGAUAGGUUGAACAGAGGUGAGGAACCUUGUGGAGAGUAAGAAGGGGUUCCUGCCACUCAGGGAACUAAUUAUAUUCCUAACCCUUCUUUGAAGUGACAUUCCCAUUGAGAAACAUGAUCCAGAAGGCAGGAAGUCAAUAGAAGAAUGAUCAGGCUUGUGACCUGAGAAUCAGAUUGAAGAACUGAGACCGGCUUCCCAUCUGAGCCUAUUCCACGGACAGCACUGUGAGCUGUCCAUCCAUGAGUGUGGGCAGAGGCAAAGGGCUGGGGUUCUGCAGCUGGCUAAUCUAAAAGGAGGGAGACUCAAGUGGGAAAUGCAACACACACAACUCACCAGGCAUUACCACACACCACAGGUUACACAUACCACACAUAGACUGCAUAGCUCUCACACCACACAUAUAACAUACUAUACCCAUACCACAUACCAUACUCAUACUCCAUACACAAUACUUGCAAUGCCCACCAAACACAGGCAUACAUACCACAAAUAUAGACACAAACCACACACACACACACACACACACACACACACACACACACACACUCCCACACAUCAUGUAGCACAGGUGUGCACACACUUUAGGUACAUACAAACACAGAAUACUUUCAUAGUAUUAGCACUAUUCCCAACGUCACUCCCCCCCCCAUGUACAUUAUAUAUGUACUAUGCACCACGCCCGCACAGACACACCCCUCCACACACUUAUUGAUUCCUCAAUUUUUGUCACUCAAAGUGAAUUCUUUGAGAAGUGGCAAUGAUGGAGAGAGAAAGGAGAGUGUAAGUUUUCUUUAAAUAAGUUCACCCUGGGCCAGAGUUAUCUCUUAAAUGUAGAUGAGAAUAGAUACUCUUUUUUUUUGUCUCCCUCCUCCAUAGGCUGAAAAAUGAAACCUGAUGCUUUCACUCUGUAUCUAAUAGUGGGAGUGGUCCAGGUUGUUGUGGUUGUGGUGGUGGUGAUGAUGAUGAUGACAAUUUAAAAUAAAGUGUGGUGUGUACAAUACACUCAUCAGCAUGCAGGAAGCUCUUCUUGAUCUUGUAUUUGAGGCAAUCCAGGAAAAGCAAAGAGAAAAUGCAUUCUGAGCCAGUCCGGGGUGGGGCCAGAGUCUCCAGGAAAAGAGACAAUCCAUGCAAAGCUAAAGCAUGGCGAUCUUGCC